rnacentral:rRNA from 1 species
GACGAACGCUGGCGGCGUGCCUAAUACAUGCAAGUCGAACGCAGUUGCGCCGGGUGAGUACCACGUGGGUCACCUCCCAUCAGAGGGGAUAACACUUGGAAACAGGUGCUAAACCGAUACUGGUUGAUGGACCCGCGGUGCAUGAGCCAGUUGGUGAGGUAACGGCUCACCAAGGCCACGAUGCAUAGCCGACCUGGGAGGGUGAUCGGCCACACGGGGACGGAGACACGGCCCAGACUCCUACGGGAGGCAGCAGUAGGGAAUCUUCGGCAAUGGACGAAAGUCUGACCGAGCAACGCCGCGUGAGUGAAGAAGGUUUUCGGAUCGUAAAACUCUGUUGUUAGAGAAGCGGUAUCUAACCAGAAAGCCACGGCUAACUACGUGCCAGCAGCCGCGGUAAUUC